GGGUGCUAGUCACUCCCUGCGGGACUUUCAUUAAUUUCUUCACCUCGAUUCCCAUGUGGUAAUUCCUAAGGCCCAGUUUAAAGAUGGGUUGAUACCCUCCAGUGGCAGAGAGGAGAAUUUCUAAUUGUUUCUGUUCUGCAAAAUGGAUUCAUUUCUGUACUCUCUUCCUCAAUGUACAAGUAAGGUGACAGUUAUAUAAAAUCAUACACAAUAAAAUCAGGACUAUAAUAACAAAAUGAUAGAAGAAUGAUUUCAUUAUCUGAGAUCCAGUAGGGGACCAACCAGUGAAGCAUUGUACCAAUGAUGGGCUAAAUCAUUCUGAAUUUGUGAACUCACCUUAAGGAGUUCUCCUUUUAGGAUAUGUGUGGCUACCUGUGUGUGUUAUCUUUGGGAACAAUAUAGUCCCCUGUGUAUGUGGGUGCCCACCAGGUUAAAUUCUUGGCAAAAAGAUCAUAAACUGGUACUGGUAAUGUGUUAAAUUGACAAGCUAAUUUAACAUCCUUUGAUGAUGUAUGAUAUAAUGUAAAAUAGCAAGAGCAUGAAAAAUGUGAAACAUUACCAGUUAACCAUCCAUUGCAUUUACUGGAUUGGGGUUUUAGAAGUAACCAUUCAUUAUCUGUGAGGUUACGCUUUCCUCUAAUCUUCUCUAGUUUAGGAAUCAUUAGUGUGUUUUCUAAUGCCAAUCUUUGUUGUUGCAUCCAUAAAUACCUGAUGGCACAAGUACUCCAGUUACCGAGAUCUGUGGUGAAUUUCAUAGUUGCAACAGUUAAAUUAUCUAAAUAAUUAUACAUUGAUUUAUCUAAAUCCAAUCCUAUAACCUGUGAUUUAACAACAAUUGGAGCACAGUUUGCAGUAGCAUGGAAACCAGUCCCUAUAUGCAUGCUGGCUGUGUUUAACUUAUUCUUGAGGGUCUCCAUAUCUAUAACUAUUUAGUAUACCCAUAGUGGUUCCAGCACCUCCUAACAGUGUGUCAUACCAUUCCCUUUUCUGCCUUUGUUUGCUGUGUUACAUAAUGUUACAACAGGAGUAGUGACUUUUAAUGACACAUGUACAGCUUGUAAGAAGGCAGUUGUAUUAACACAUGUGGACGGAAUAGGUGUGUGUGUGUCGUUGUUGACUUUUGGUUCUAUGGUAGAGGAUAAAGGACAGUAAUAAGGUGUAAAAAUAUAAGGUAGUGUAUAGUUCUCAAUUGUAGUGUUGUUCAUAAUGACUAACAUUUGUCCCCUUCUCCAAUUAAUGAUACCAGUUAUAUAAUCAUUAUUAAAAGUAAUAAGGCCUGUCUAUUUACAUUGAUAUGCAACCUUAACUGUGCACAUUUCUGCGUUAUAAGAUCUAACAAUUUUCUGUGAACCUUUAAACAAACAUAAUGCAUCGGUUUCAUUAGCUGUAGACACAUUUCAUAUGGGUAACUGGUACUUAUAAGGGUUACUAUUUGUCCAAUUCAUCCAAAUGCGUUCAGUGAAUGAAUGAUUGCAUAUUACAUGCUGAUAGAAAGGUGGUGGAGAAAGGUUCUUGAGGGGGCGUGUAUGACGAAUGCUAGAUGAGGGGCUAAGGCCUAAUUGGGCUGGGGGUAUUGAAGAAUUGUUCAUCAUGUCAGAGUCUUUUUCCAGAACUUGCCAUUGACUUGUACUCAUAAUGGCAUUCAAGGAACAAUAUCAGAGGGAGUAUAACAACUCCAGAAAGCACAGCACACAACAUAAUCUUGGUCUCAGGUACGUAUGAUCCUCUCAAUCUACGAUAUGGUGUAAAAGCCAUGAUGCUUCGCUGAGGAGAAAUUCUUCUGUUUCCGAGCGAGGAGUGGUGUUGUCUUCCUUGGUUCCCCUCUUUGGACACAGCUUCACUUGGGAUGCGUGAAUCCAGAUGUCAUGGGAAUCUGUGAGGACAGCGGUUCUGGUUACAGCAAUCACAGUAGCAGGUGGUCCAAAAGGGUAUCCUCCUUUCUUGGUCCUGUUCAGCUGACGGAUAUACACCUUGUCACCGGGCUGGUAUGAAUGAGUAGGUUCCUGUGAAGGUAAGGGAAAACUGCGAAGAAACAUUGUCAUACAUACCAUUCGGUUUUAUCAACAAUUCCUGUACAUAUUGUUCUUGUAUAAGCUGUAAAUCCCCAGACA
rnacentral:lncRNA from 1 species